UCCCCAAUCCACUUCUACCAAACAAAGCCUCACCGGUUCACCAUCCCUCCUCCCUCGCGAGAGAUGUUUUCGGCGGCGGCGCUGCCGCUGGACGACGAUAACCUGCUCUCCGAGAUCCUCUUCCGCCACUCCCCUCCUCCCUCCCUCGUGCCUCCGCAGUCUGCAAGUGUUGGCGCUGCCUCGCCUCCGAUCCAGCCUUCUCCUGCCGCUUCCGCCUCCACCACCGCCGCAACCUCCCCUCCUUGGCUGCUUCCACGAAAAUUAUCGCGACAUCUGCUUUGAACCUACUCUGGAGGCCCCCAACCAUGUUCCGCCCGGGCACCUCUGCUUGCAGUUUAACUCCCACUUCCGAUUACUCGGGUGCCGCCAUGGCCUCGUAUUAAUCUUGCACCCGCCCCAGCUCCUGGUGUGGGACCCCCUCACCGGCCACUAGCCUCGCCUACCCAUUCCCACGGAGUUCGAUCCAACCAAGACCUUGAUUAACGGGGCGGUGCUCUGCUCUGCUGCGGGAGACAUCCACUUCAAGGUUGUCUUGACAGGGGCCGACGACUACGAGGUGCUCGCCUGCGUUUACUCGUCCGAGACUGGGGUGUGGGGCGAUCUCAUCUCCACAUCAAUUGCAUCACGGAACUUCAUGGUUGUUGACCAUCGUCGCACGGUUGCUACGCAGCCUGCUGUACUGGUUGGAGAUUCCCAUUACUGGAUGCUUAAAGGUGGUUUGGAAUGUAUCCUUGGCUUUGAUUUGCAGAGUGAGAGCCUAACCUUUAUACGGAUGCCAGUGGAUAGGAUUCAUUCCCCCUACUUCAUACAGAUGCGGGCAGAUGAUGGUGAGCUUGGUUUACUCGCCGUGACAGGCACCACCGCCCAAUUAUGGAAGAGGAAGGCCAAUUGUGAUGGUGCUGCACCAUGGGGGUUGGGAGGAACUAUUGAACUGAACAAGCUACUUUCUCUGGACUCAGAACAGUUCACAUGGAUACAAGGGGACAAGAUUUGGCGUUCCUGUGUAUCGGUGUCAGUAACUUCACGGUCCAGCUCGAGUCUUUGCAGUUCAAGGAGCUUUCCAACCCCAUAGUGGAUCGCUAUUAUCCAUUUGAAAGUGUCUAUGCUGCAGGUAUCUAGAGUUGUAUUCUGGUUGCUGAGAUGCAGGAGUGGGCUUGUUGCUGAAGGUUCUUCCAUUUUGGUAACUUCACAUGGAGAUUGACCAUCUACAUAGCGUGUACUUAUCUACUUGGAAGUCAACUUGUAGGAGUUAAUUUGCCAACUUCUCUCUAUUAACUUAUCUCUGGACACAAUUAGCUAACUGGGAUGAUGAAGAUAUAUUACUACCUUUUUGGUUAAGCAGUACUUACCUUGUGGCUCGUUUACCAUAUGGUUUCCAAGCAAGCACGUUAAAGCAAGCUUGCCUUCCUGA